rnacentral:rRNA from 1 species
UACGGGAGGCAGCAGUAGGGAAUCUUCGGCAAUGGACGAAAGUCUGACCGAGCCACGCCGCGUGAGUGAAGAAGGUUUUCGGAUCGUAAAACUCUGUUGUUAGAGAAGAAUAAGGAUCGUUAGUAAUCUGCAACGUCCCCUG